rnacentral:tRNA from 8 species
GCAUCUCCCUUACACUGAGAAGUCACCCGUGCAAAUCGGGUCGCCCUGA